AUUCAUCUGAUGAGUCCCAAAUAGGACGAAAUGCUUAUCCUAGAC
rnacentral:hammerhead_ribozyme from 1 species